UACAGAGGGUGCGAGCGUUGUCCGGAAUCACUGGGCGUAAAGGGCGCGUAGGCGGAUGUUUAAGUCGGGGGUGAAAGCCCGGGGCUCAACCUCGGAAUUGCCUUCGAUACUGGACAUCUUGAGUACGGGAGAGGUGAGUGGAACUCCGAGUGUAGAGGUGAAAUUCGUAGAUAUUCGGAAGAACACCAGUGGCGAAGGCGACUCACUGGCCCGUUACUGACGCUGAGGCGCGAAAGCGUGGGGAGCAAACAGG
rnacentral:rRNA from 1 species